GGCCUGAUAGUUCAGUGGUAGAAUUCUUGCUUUGGGUUGAGAAUGAUUAACUAAUCUGUUGGUUAAGCUUAUAAAUCUAAAUUGUAAGAGGUCUCCGGUUCGAUCCCGGAUUAGGCCC
rfam:Sclerotinia sclerotiorum 1980 scaffold_11 genomic scaffold, whole genome shotgun sequence.